GAUGAACGCUGACAGAAUGCUUAACACAUGCAAGUCUACUUGAACUUCGGUUUGGGUGGCGGACGGGUGAGUAACGCGUAAAGAACUUGCCUCACAGUUAGGUACAACAUUUGGAAACGAAUGCUAAUACCUGAUAUUAUGAUUUUAGGGCAUCCUAGGAUUAUGAAAGCUAUAUGUGCUGUGAGAGAGCUUUGCGUCCCAUUAGCUAGUUGGAGAGGUAACGGCUCACCAAGGCGAUGAUGGGUAGCCGGCCUGAGAGGGUGAACGGCCACAAGGGGACUGAGACACGGCCCUUACUCCUACGGGAGGCAGCAGUGGGGAAUAUUGGACAAUGGACCAAAAGUCUGAUCCAGCAAUUCUGUGUGCACGAUGACGUUUUUCGGAAUGUAAAGUGCUUUCAGUUGGGAAGAAAAAAAUGACGGUACCAACAGAAGAAGUGACGGCUAAAUACGUG
rnacentral:rRNA from 1 species